GCCAGCCAGGGGCCUUGCCGGGGCACAUUCAUCUGGUCCGUUAAAUUCGCCAGCUACAGUGUGGUUUCACCCCCGCUUUUCAUUACAGCCAUUGGAUGUUGUCAUUUCUUUUUUCACUUGUUGCUCCUCUGGAUAUGUCUAUGCCGAGUGGGACCAGGCGCGCGUGGGGCCGACGAAUGGAGACAGCGCAGGUGCCCGCUUAUGUCGUCUUUCUUCGUCUUCUUUUUACUGUGUGGGGCGACUGCGGGUGAAACCCUGGAUCGGAGAAAAUAUCCCAAACCACUCCCCCAAUCAGUGGCGUCCUCUCGUCCCCAAUCCGCCGCCCUCCUCUCCUCACCCAAUCUCCACCUCGUGUCCCCUCUCCUCUUCUUCUUCCCCAAUCCAAUGGCGGCAGAGGUGGGCGGACUUGGCGAGCGGUAGGAGCGGAAGCAACUUGUGGCGCAUCUGGAGGAACUCCGGGAGCUCUGAUGGCGGCGGCGGUCGGACUGGACUGUGGCGGCAGCGAGCAGACGGGAACGGCUGGUCGUCUCGUGGACGGCGGCGGUGGACUGCCGAUGGCUGCAGCGGGCUUAUUCGUCCAGCAGAUUCAGCCACAGGGAAAGCAAUCCCCAUUGGUACUCGUGAACUCCAUGGCUACCAUAGGUUUGCGUUUGGGUGGCCCAAGAUUUCUACGAUGUUGAUAACGACCAACAUCGGUGCAGGAGGAUUUAGUGCUUAUCUCUCAUGAUAAUUGUUCACUCCAGUUAUGAAGUUUCCAUAUUUAGAGGGCUGACUCAUGGUGCUAGAUGCCACUUUUGUUUAUAUCAUUUGCCUCAUCGUCAUUUCUGUAAGUAUGUCCUCAACAAUCUCUAUUGUCAAAUGCUCUUAGAGGAUCUAUGUACUUAUUACUGGGUUUCAGUCACGAGUCUAAUAAAAAAACAUAAGAGUAGUGUAGUCAAUCUAUUCUUGCUGCAUAUUUGUUUGUUGCUUAUAUGGUUUCUAUUCAUAAAAGUAGUGUA